CAGCGCCGCGGUAAUACAGAGGGUGCGAGCGUUAAUCGGAUUUACUGGGCGUAAAGCGUGCGUAGGCGGCUUCUUAAGUCGGAUGUGAAAUCCCUGAGCUUAACUUAGGAAUUGCAUUCGAUACUGGGAAGCUAGAGUAUGGGAGGGGAUGGUAGAAUUCCAGGUGUAGCGGUGAAAUGCGUAGAGAUCUGGAGGAAUACCGAUGGCGAAGGCAGCCAUCUGGCCUAAUACUGACGCUGAGGUACGAAAGCAUGGGGAGCAAACAGGAUUAGAUACCCCCGUAGUCCCUGUCUCUUAUACA
rnacentral:rRNA from 1 species